GCGACUUAUAUUCUGUAGCAAGGUUAACCGUAUAGGGGAGCCGAAGGGAAACCGAGUCUUAACCGGGCGUUAAGUUGCAGGGUAUAGACCCGAAACCCGGUGAUCUAGCCAUGGGCAGGUUGAAGGUUGGGUAACACUAACUGGAGGACCGAACCGACUAAUGUUGAAAAAUUAGCGGAUGACUUGUGGCUGGGGGUGAAAGGCCAAUCAAACCGGGAGAUAGCUGGUUCUCCCCGAAAGCUAUUUAGGUAGCGCCUCGUGAACUCAUCUUCGGGGGUAGAGCACUGUUUCGGCUAGGGGGUCAUCCCGACUUACCAACCCGAUGCAAACUGCGAAUACCGAAGAAUGUUAUCACGGGAGACACACGGCGGGUGCUAACGUCCGUCGUGAAGAGGGAAACAACCCAGACCGCCAGCUAAGGUCCCAAAGUCACAGUUAAGUGGGAAACGAUGUGGGAAGGCUCAGACAGCCAGGAUGUUGGCUUAGAAGCAGCCAUCAUUUAAAGAAAGCGUAAUAGCUCACUGGUCGAGUCGGCCUGCGCGGAAGAUGUAACGGGGCUAAACUGUGCACCGAAGCUGCGGCAGCGACGCUUAUGCGUUGUUGGGUAGGGGAGCGUUCUGUAAGCCUGCGAAGGUGUCCUGUGAGGGAUGCUGGAGGUAUCAGAAGUGCGAAUGCUGACAUAAGUAACGAUAA
rnacentral:rRNA from 1 species